GAUGAACGCUGGCGGCAUGCCUAAGACAUGCAAGUCGAACGAGAUGGCCCAUUGAAGAUUGAGUGCUUGCACAAUUUCUGAUUUGGAUUUUCCAUCUAGUGGCGGACGGGUGAGUAACACGUGGGUGACCUACCUUUGAGUUUGGGAUAACUACUGGAAACGGUAGCUAAUACCGAAUAACAUACAGUUUCAUUUCUGUAUUAAAAGGCGCUUUACAGCGUCGCUCUUAGAUGGGCCUGCGGCGUAUUAGCUAGUUGGUGAGGUAACGGCUCACCAAGGCAACGAUGCGUAGCCGGACUGAGAGGUUGAUCGGCCACAUUGGGACUGAGACACGGCCCAA
rnacentral:rRNA from 1 species